UAAAAUUUGGCGCAACUGGGAUACCUUUUUGGUGGUCAGAGGUGGCUCUGGCUCGGCGGCGGGCGACGGUCGACUCCCUUUCCGUCGACUGGUUCUUCUUCUCCAGCGGGGGAGCUGGCGACUAAGGUUAGAGUUUGAUGUGAAGUGAGGUAUUUAUAUCCAUCCUCUUUUAAUCUGGACCGUCCAAUCGCAUUUAAAUAGGAAGUGGAUUUGGACCGUUUAUCGCGAUUUAAUCUCGACUGUAUGAUCGCGUUUAAAGAGAAAACGGAUCCAGACCAUCCACACGCACGGAAACAAAUCCAAACUGUCCAAUUGAGGGCACGUGGAUUGCCAGCGUGGCCUUCCGUGUGGCAUUGUGUCAGCGGGCCUUGCCAUGCGGCGCACUUCGGUUAGUCAGGCUGCUGACUGGGCGUCCUACAUAGCACAUUUUU
rnacentral:lncRNA from 1 species